UACGUAGGGGGCAAGCGUUGUCCGGAUUUAUUGGGCGUAAAGAGCGUGUAGGCGGUUCGGUAGGUCCGUUGUGAAAACUCGAGCUCAACCUUGAGACGCCGAUGGAAACCCCCGAACUAGAGUCCGGAAGAGGAGAAUGGAAUUCCUGGUGUAGCGGUGAAAUGCGCAGAUAUCAGGAAGAACACCCGUGGCUAAGGCGGUUCUCUAGUACGGUACUGACGCUGAGACGCGAAGCGUGGGAGCGAACAGG
rnacentral:rRNA from 1 species